GGGGAAUAUUGCGCAAUGGGCGAAAGCCUGACGCAGCGACGCCGCGUGAGGGACGAAGGUCUUCGGAUUGUAAACCUCUUUCAGCAGGGACGAAGCGAAAGUGACUGUACCUGCAGAAGAAGCACCGGCUAACUACGUGCCAGCAGCCGCGGUAAUACGUAGGGUGCAAGCGUUGUCCGGAUUUAUUGGGCGUAAAGAGCUCGUAGGCGGUUUGUCGCGUCGGAUGUGAAAACCCAAUGGCUUAACCUUGGGCCUGCAUUCGAUACGGGCAAACUAGAGUGUGGUAGGGGAGACUGGAACUCCUGGUGUAGCGGUGGAAUGCGCAGAUAUCAGGAAGAACACCGAUGGCGAAGGCAGGUCUCUGGGCCAUAACUGACGCUGAGGAGCGAAAGCGUGGGGAGCGAAC
rnacentral:rRNA from 1 species